rnacentral:rRNA from 1 species
CCUACGGGUGGCUGCAGUGGGGAAUAUUGGACAAUGGGGGGAACCCUGAUCCAGCCAUGCCGCGUGUGUGAAGAAGGCCCUCGGGUUGUAAAGCACUUUCAGUGAGGAAGAACGCCUGGUGGUUAAUACCCAUCAGGAAAGACAUCACUCACAGAAGAAGCACCGGCUAACUCCGUGCCAGCAGCCGCGGUAAUACGGAGGGUGCGAGCGUUAAUCGGAAUUACUGGGCGUAAAGCGCGCGUAGGUGGCUUGAUAAGCCGGUUGUGAAAGCCCCGGGCUCAACCUGGGAACGGCACCCGGAACUGUCAAGCUAGAGUGCAGGAGAGGAAGGUAGAAUUCCCGGUGUAGCGGUGAAAUGCGUAGAGAUCGGGAGGAAUACCAGUGGCGAAGGCGGCCUUCUGGACUGACACUGACACUGAGGUGCGAAAGCGUGGGUAGCAAACAGGAUUAGAUACCCGAGUAGUC